rnacentral:rRNA from 1 species
AAUGGGGGAAACCCUGACGCAGCAACGCCGCGUGAAGGAAGAAGGUCUUCGGAUCGUAAACUUUUGUCUUUAGGGAAGAUAGUGACGGUACCUAAGGAGGAAGCCACGGCUAACUACGUGCCAGCAGCCGCGGUAAUACGUAGGUGGCAAGCGUUGUCCGGAUUUACUGGGUGUAAAGGGCGCGUAGACGGGUAAGUAGGUCAGAUGUGAAAUACCGAGGCUCAACCUCGGGGCUGCAUUUGAAACUGCAUAUCUUGAGUGUCGGAGAGGAAAGCGGAAUUCCUAGUGUAGCGGUGAAAUGCGUAGAUAUUAGGAGGAACACCAGUGGCGAAGGCGGCUUUCUGGACGAUAACUGACGUUGAGGCACGAAAGCGUGGGGAGCAAA